rnacentral:rRNA from 1 species
CCCUUAGAUGUUCUGGGCUGCACGCGCGCUACACUGAUACCUUCAGCGAGUCCACCACCUUGCCUGGGAGGGUGGGGUAACCUCUGGAAAGUGCAUCGUGAUGGGGAUAGAUUGUUGCAAUUAUUAAUCUUCAACGAGGAAUGCCUAGUAAGCGCAAGUCAUCAGCUUGCGUUGAUUACGUCCCUGCCCUUUGUACACACCGCCCGUCGCUCCUACCGAUUGAAUGGUCCGGUGAAGCGUUCGGACCGUGGCCUUUGGACGGUUCGCCGUCUGUUGGCUGCGGGAAGUUCGUUAAACCUUAUCAUUUAGAGGAAGGAGAAGUCGUAACA